UACAGAGGUCCCAAGCGUUGUUCGGAUUUACUGGGCGUAAAGGGUGCGUAGGUGGCGGGGUAAGUCUGGUGUGAAAUCUCCGAGCUCAACUCGGAAAAGCAUUGGAAACUAUCCCGCUAGAGGGUCGGAGGGGAGACUGGAAUUCCCGGUGUAGCGGUGAAAUGCGCAGAUAUCGGGAGGAACACCAAUGGCGAAGGCAGC
rnacentral:rRNA from 1 species